rnacentral:rRNA from 1 species
AGACCUUUAGUUUGAACCCCGAAACCAGGUGAGCUACCCCGAGACAGCCUAUAUUGAUUUAGGGCUAACCCGUCUCUGUGGCAAAAGAGUGGGAAGAGCUCCGGGUAGAAGUGACAGACCUACCGAACCUGGUGAUAGCUGGUUGCCUGAGAAGUGGAUAGAAGUUCAGCCUCGCACACCCCAAGCCAGAGAAUACACCGCUAAGGCACUCAGGGAAAUGUGGGAGAGUUAGUUAAAGGGGGUACAGCCCCUUUAACAAAGGAUACAACCUUUGCAGGAGGAUAAAGAUCAUAAUAUAUAAAACAUGCUGCUCUAGUGGGCCUAAAGGCAGCCACCUAAACAGAAAGCGUUAAAGCUCAGGCAGAAAGAAGUUUAUUAUACCGAUAAAAAAUCUUACUCCCCUAAUUGUAUCAGGCCAACCCAUGCCAACAUGGAAGAGAUUAUGCUAAAAUGAGUAACAAGAAGACCUGCUCUUCUCCCAGCACAAGUGUAAGCCAGAUCGGACUAACCACUGGAACUUAACGAACCCAACCCAAGAGGGUAGUGUGAAUAGUACAGACCCCAAGAAGAACUCACAACUAAACAAUCGUUAACCCCACACUGGAGUGCUAUUAUAAAGGAAAGACUAAAAGAGGGGGAAGGAACUCGGCAAACACAAGCCUCGCCUGUUUACCAAAAACAUCGCCUCCUGCAACUAUAUUGAGUAUAGGAGGUCCAGCCUGCCCAGUGACUACGGGUUCAACGGCCGCGGUAUUUUGACCGUGCAAAGGUAGCGCAAUCACUUGUCUCUUAAAUAGAGACCUGUAUGAAUGGCUAGACGAGGGCUUAACUGUCUCCCCCCUCCAGUCAGUGAAAUUGAUCUAUCCGUGCAGAAGCGGGUAUAAUUAUACAAGACGAGAAGACCCUUUGGAGCUUAAGGUACAAAAUCCAACCACGUUAAACGACCCCCUAAAGGGCAAGAACUUAGUGGCCAAUGAAGUUUUACCUUCGGUUGGGGCGACCACGGAGGAGAAAAAAGCCUCCGAGUGGACUGGGUUAAAACCCAAAGCUAAGAGAUACAUCUCUAAGCCGCAGAACAUCUGACCAAAAGUGAUCCGGCUAAAAAGCCGAUCAACGAACCAAGUUACCCUAGGGAUAACAGCGCAAUCCUCUCCCAGAGUCCAUAUCGACGAGGGGGUUUACGACCUCGAUGUUGGAUCAGGACAUCCUAAUGGUGCAGCCGCUAUUAAGGGU